UUUGUAAAGCACUUGUAUUUGCAAACUGCUGGCUGAGUUCCCACUAGAGGCAGAGAAAUCAGACUGAAAGUGUGUGUGUGUGUGUGUGUGUGUGAGUGUGUGUGUGUGCGUGCGUGUGUAUCAGGACUGAGACAUAGAGAGACAGGCAGACAGACACAGAGAGGAACCGUUCCACCCCGUUCAGCCAGCAACUCCUCGGCCCGUCUACAUGAGCUUUCUUCCCGAAUAUGGAGGCUUUUUUUUCGCUCUCUUGAUUUUUGUUUUCCUACCCUCCAGUCACCACAGAUUUACGCUGCCGAACUUUUGGCCACAUUUUUAGGUAAAAAAAGGAGCACAGGCUCGGCGGAGACAGAUGAGAGCUUUGUUAGUAGUUUUGCAGAGGGUGAGGAUGAUGAUGACGACGAUGAUGACGACGGCGUUCGCCGCUAUUUAAGGAAACCUUUGCAUCGCCGCGUCUCCACACCCCUGCUGGCUUCUCUUCAAACGUUAUUUGAACCUCCACGUCGACAUGGGUGGUAACACGCCUUGGCAUGGUGUUGCUCCGCAAGGGCCAAGAAAAACACGGAAGCGCACACACACACACACACACACACACACACACACACACACACACACACACACACACACACACACACACACACACACACACACACACACACACACACACACACACACACACACAAUUGUGAUACUCACAGCACGCAGGUAUAUCUAGCUCGUCUUUCUGGGUGACAGCAUUACAAAGUUAGCAUUUUCCCAUCGUUUUAACCAUCUGUUGACAGCUGAGAUGGACAUAUAGAACACUUGACAGGUCUGACAUCAUAGCAGGCUUGCAAAAAAAAAAAAAAA